rnacentral:rRNA from 1 species
GCACAAGCGGCGGAGCAUGUGGAUUAAUUCGAUGCAACGCGAAGAACCUUACCUGGGCUUGACAUACACCAGAUCGCCGUAGAGAUACGGUUUCCCUUUGUGGUUGGUGUACAGGUGGUGCAUGGUUGUCGUCAGCUCGUGUCGUGAGAUGUUGGGUUAAGUCCCGCAACGAGCGCAACCCUUGUCUUAUGUUGCCAGCAAUUCGGUUGGGGACUCGUGAGAGACUGCCGGGGUUAACUCGGAGGAAGGUGGGGAUGACGUCAAAUCAUCAUGCCCCUUAUGUCCAGGGCUUCACACAUGCUACAAUGGUCGGUACAACGCGUCUGCGAGCCUGUGAGGGUGAGCUAAUCGCUGUAAAGCCGGUCGUAGUUCGGAGUGGGGUCUGCAACUCGACCCCAUGAAGUCGGAGUCGCUAGUAAU